CUCUUUCCCGUGUUCUUCACCUGUUGGUGAUUUUACGAAACUGAAAUCGAGAUUUUUAGAUCGAGAGAGGUAGGGUAUAGUUGAGUAGUGAUUGCUGUUGGUGGUACUGAUGUUGAUUAGCUCUGGGAAGAUGAAAAGAUGUCGAUGCUGCUGUAAAUCAGUUAGUCUGUAUUAACAACGAUCGAUUCAAAGGAUGAACCAGCGGAUUGAGGAAUUCAAGGUAGGAGUGGCUUGUCAUCAAAUCAGUUUCAGUUUUCAGAAGAAAUGGUGCCUGCGAGGAUAUAUCGUUUUCUUUGCUAAAAAGCUUUAACGAUUCUAAAGAUGUUGUGUUAUCUUUUACAUGUAUUCUUUGUUAAUCUGUAAAACGAC